rnacentral:rRNA from 1 species
GAUGAACGCUAGCGACAGGCCUAACACAUGCAAGUCGAGGGGCAGCACGGUGUAGCAAUACACGGGUGGCGACCGGCGCACGGGUGAGUAACGCGUAUGCAACCUGCCUACUACAAGGGGAUAACCCGUUGAAAGACGGACUAAUACCCUAUAACACAGGGAAUCCGCAUGGAUAUAUUUGUUAAAGAUUUAUCGGUAGUAGAUGGGCAUGCGUUCCAUUAGCUUGUUGGUGAGGUAACGGCUCACCAAGGCAACGAUGGAUAGGGGAACUGAGAGGUUGAUCCCCCCGCACUGGAACUGAGACACGGUCCAGACUCCUACGGGAGGCAGCAGUGAGGAAUAUUGGUCAAUGGACGAGAGUCUGAACCAGCCAAGUCGCGUGAAGGAAGACGGCCCUACGGGUUGUAAACUUCUUUUGUAAGGGAAUAAAUAGUCUUACGCGCUAAGACGUUGCAGGUACCUUACGAAUAAGGAUCGGCUAACUCCGUG